ensembl:misc_RNA
GAGACAGCCCUGGGGAAUGAAAUUGUUUGUUUAUCCACAGAACACGUACAGCAUGGGCAGCAGCAGUGUAGUCUUUCCCAUGCUGUUGCAUUGCUGUUCUCCAGCCUUGUCCUCCAGCGAUAUUCUAUAAAGGUGGGAAGACAGUUCACAGUUCUGGCCCUGCCCAAACUCUGGGUGCU